rnacentral:tRNA from 1 species
AGAAAUUUAGGUUACAUCACCAAACCAAGGGCCUUCAAAGCCCUAAACAGGGACAUCCCCCUAAUUUCU